CAAUCCUCACCCUGGAAAUCUCCGCUCGUAGAAAGCUCCACCCACUAAGGGAUCCUAUAUAAACGCUGUGUCUGCUCAGCUCCCUGCUGUCUGCUCCCUGGAGCAGAGGUAGCCACCCCUAGAUUUAUCCCUCCGCACCCUGGAUCCUCCCUCUAAAUCUCUUUUAUGAGAUUUGCUGCCUGCUCCUGAGCUCUUGAGCUCAGCCGGGGAUACCCUCCUCAGGGGCUGCAAAUGCUCUGCGGAGGAGGCUUCCUCUCAGAGCUGUGUGGUUCCUGGGCCCCCAUGUCUCAGGAUGCUUUUCCGUUGGGAUACCAUCCUCCCUCAGAGCUGUCCUGAGAUUCCGAGAUUCCGAGUCCCAGGACACCUUCCCACCCCAGCAGGAAGGCCAGCGUUUUGGUUCCGUGACCCAGAUAGGCUCUCCGGGUGCUUGUGCUCCCCUCGUGGUCUGAGCAGCACUAGGACCCUAUCCUUCUUCUCCAGUUGGCCUGUAGCAGACUCACUUCAGGCUCAACCCAUGCACCAGCAAUGGUUAGAGAGAAGCCAGCCAAAGAAUGUCUCGUGGUAUUCCAGCCGAUUCUUCCCACUUCCGAUGGGUUAAGCCACCGUUACUGAUUCGCAUUUGGUGUUUGCUAUUGGACUGAACCUGCUGAUAUCCUGACAUGAAGCUUAGAGUCGAUCUAAAGAACUACUUCUAAACAGGUCCACAAUGCCCUUGUCCUAGUAACCGUAUCUCUCCCCUACCUCUGGUCGGUGCUCUAGAAGGGAGAUUGAUGCAUUGAAGAACCCCAAAUAAAAUAGGCUUUGAAAAAUCAGCCUGCAGGACCUUCUAGCCAAAAUGGAAGCCUCUACUUCUUUUGCUCCCCACAUAUGCUUGAUCUCAGCCUUUCCAGCCAUCUUUCUUCUUCCCUCCUUCUCUUCCAGACUAUUCAACCGGAAACACCUUCUUCCUCACCAGCUUCCUCCAUGGGUCCCCAGGGUUGGGGCCCAAACCCUCUAUAGCCAAACACAAUCCUCCUCUCGUCAUUCAGUGGAUGGUCAGUCCUGCCUCCUGGCCGCAUGUCCCAACCACCACCUCUCCCUGAUCGCCUCCUUCCUCCUCUGUCACGAUAUCUUUGCACGCACCCCAACCACUACUUGCUUCAGCCUCAUCCUGACCCCCUUUCCUCCUCAGUCAACAUCGGGACUUGGUCCUCCUCUCUCCUCCUAGUCACUACCCCUAAAAGACAGGCCUCUUCAGGGUCAUUCUUACUAUUCCAACCGCAGCUAAACCCGAUGGCUUCCCUCACUGGAUUCACCCUUCUCAUCAAGGCCCUUUAUACCGUGACCUCAAGGCAAUCCUCUUUUUUACAUCUCAACCCCAAAAGGACCUCACGCUAUUAAGUUUCAGAAGAGAGCAAGGCGGAACAGCUUGCCUCCAAUCUCAGCAGAAUGAGGCCUCAUCCAUCUA
rnacentral:lncRNA from 1 species